UACGUAGGGGGCAAGCGUUGUCCGGAUUUAUUGGGCGUAAAGAGCGUGUAGGCGGUUUGGUAGGUCCGUUGUGAAAACUCGAGGCUCAACCUCGAGACGUCGGUUGAAACCGUAUGGCUAGAGUCCGGAAGAGGAGAGUGGAAUUCCCGGUGUAGCGGUGAAAUGCGCAGAUAUCGGGAAGAACACCCGUGGCGAAGGCAGCCCCCUGGGAUAACACUGACGCUCAUGCACGAAAGCGUGGGGAGCAAACAGG
rnacentral:rRNA from 1 species